rnacentral:rRNA from 1 species
AGAGUUUGAUCCUGGCUCAGGACGAACGCUGGCGGCGUGCUUAACACAUGCAAGUCGAACGGUAAGGCCCUUCGGGGUACACGAGUGGCGAACGGGUGAGUAACACGUGGGUAAUCUGCCCUGCACAUCGGGAUAAGCCUGGGAAACUGGGUCUAAUACCGAAUAGGACCACAGGACACAUGUCCUGUGGUGGAAAGCUUUUGCGGUGUGGGAUGGGCCCGCGGCCUAUCAGCUUGUUGGUGGGGUGAUGGCCUACCAAGGCGACGACGGGUAGCCGGCCUGAGAGGGUGUCCGGCCACACCGGGACUGAGAUACGGUCCAGACUCCUACGGGAGGCAGCAGUGGGGAAUAUUGCACAAUGGGCGAAAGCCUGAUGCAGCGACGCCGCGUGGGGGAUGACGGCCUUCGGGUUGUAAACCUCUUUCACCAUCGACGAAGGUCCGGGUUUUCUCGGGCUGACGGUAGGUGGAGAAGAAGCACCGGCCAACUACGUGCCAGCAGCCGCGGUAAUACGUAGGGUGCGAGCGUUGUCCGGAAUUACUGGGCGUAAAGAGCUCGUAGGUGGUUUGUCGCGUUGUUCGUGAAAUCUCACGGCUUAACUGUGAGCGUGCGGGCGAUACGGGCAGACUUGAGUACUGCAGGGGAGACUGGAAUUCCUGGUGUAGCGGUGGAAUGCGCAGAUAUCAGGAGGAACACCGGUGGCGAAGGCGGGUCUCUGGGCAGUAACUGACGCUGAGGAGCGAAAGCGUGGGGAGCGAACAGGAUUAGAUACCCUGGUAGUCC